rnacentral:rRNA from 1 species
GAUGAACGCUGGCGGCGUGCUUAACACAUGCAAGUCGAACGGAAAGGCCCUAGCUUGCUUGCGUACUCGAGUGGCGAACGGGAGAGUAACACGUGGGUGAUCUGCCCUGCACUUAGGGAUAAGCCUGGGAAACUGGGUCUAAUACCGGAUAGGACGAUGGUUUGGAUGCCAUUGUGGAAAGUUUUUUCGGUGUGGGAUGAGCUCGCGGCCUAUCAGCUUGUUGGUGGGGUACUGGCCUACCAAGGCGUCGGCGGGUAGCCGGUCUGAGAGGGUGUCCGGACACUGUGAGACUGAGAUGCGGCACAGACUCACGCGAGGGAGAAGAGGGGAAUAUUUCACACUGGGGGCGAGCGCGAGGUGGAGCGGCGGCGCGUGGGAGGAGGGCGCUUGCGGGGUAAACUCCUCUCGCGAGGGAGAAGGCGCUUUUGUGACGGUACCUGGAGAAGAAGCACCGGCUAACUACGUG